rnacentral:rRNA from 1 species
UACGAAGGGUGCAAGCGUUAUCCGGAUUCAUUGGGUUUAAAGGGUGCGUAGGUGGGGCGUUAAGUCAGUGGUGAAAUCCUGCAGCUCAACUGUAGACUUGCCAUUGAUACUGGCGCUCUUGAGUGCGCUUGAAGUAGGCGGAAUGUGCCGUGUAGCGGUGAAAUGCUUAGAUAUGACAUAGAACACCAAUUGCGAAGGCAGCUCACUACACGAAUAUUGACACUGAGGCACGAAAGCGUGGGGAUCAAACAGG